rnacentral:rRNA from 1 species
GACAGCAGCCGCCGCGGUAAUACGUAGGUGGCAAGCGUUGUCCGGAAUUAUUGGGCGUAAAGGGCUCGCAGGCGGUUUCUUAAGUCUGAUGUGAAAGCCCCCGGCUCAACCGGGGAGGGUCAUUGGAAACUGGGAAACUUGAGUGCAGAAGAGGAGAGUGGAAUUCCACGUGUAGCGGUGAAAUGCGUAGAGAUGUGGAGGAACACCAGUGGCGAAGGCGACUCUCUGGUCUGUAACUGACGCUGAGGAGCGAAAGCGUGGGGAGCGAACAGGAUUAGAGACCCCAGUAGUCCCUGUCUCUUAUAC